rnacentral:rRNA from 1 species
UACGUAGGGGGCAAGCGUUGUCCGGAAUCAUUGGGCGUAAAGCGCGUGUAGGCGGCUAGGUAGGUCUGCUCUGAAAGCCCGGGGCUCAACCCCGGGAGGCGGGUGGAUACUGUCUAGCUCGAGUCCGGAAGAGGAGUGUGGAAUUCCCGGUGUAGCGGUGAAAUGCGCAGAUAUCGGGAAGAACACCCGUGGCGAAGGCGGCUCUCUGGGACGGUACUGACGCUGAGACGCGAAAGCGUGGGGAGCGAACAGG